AAAACGGAACAUGCACACAGUGCUCAUUUUGAAGCUGACACGCUCAGCUUAUUAACACGUUUUUUUAAUAUUACAUAAUAAUAAUGAUAAUUAUGUAAUAAUAAAAUUACAUGAACAUUUAAUUUAUUUUGGUCUUAUUUAAAUGUCAUACAACAGGUUGGUGUUAUUUAUUCAAUUUUGUAUUUUUGUAACAUGCACAAUACAAGCAUGUGACACACCUGUGCUACUCCAAAACUAGGCAAAAUAGCACUAGCGCUAGUGCUUGUGUUUCUACAAAAUUACCAACAAGUCUUAACCACCCACUCUUCCUCGCAUGAGGUUCAAUUUCUGCAGUUUGCUUUGUUGGACAUGAGGGUCAAGUAGGAAUGGUAUUUUCUUUUUUCUAUUAAAAAUGAUUUAGAGCCUUUGGUUUUCUUCAAAAUGGUGUCUUCAGUUUUUCUGAUCUUUCUCCUCAUGAUUUCGGGAGCUCUUGGGAAUGAAUGGAGUGUAACAUACAGCAAGGAACAUCUCUGUGCUUUAAGAGGAUCUACAGUGUUUAUGAACGGAUCAUACACACACCCAGCACAUUUU